rnacentral:rRNA from 1 species
UACGUAGGGGGCAAGCGUUGUCCGGAAUCAUUGGGCGUAAAGCGCGUGUAGGCGGUUUGUCGCGUCUGCUGUGAAAAUCCGGGGCUCAACCCCGGACUUGCAGUGGGUACGGGCAGACUAGAGUGUGGUAGGGGAGACUGGAAUUCCUGGUGUAGCGGUGAAAUGCGCAGAUAUCAGGAGGAACACCGAUGGCGAAGGCAGGUCUCUGGGCCACUACUGACGCUGAGAAGCGAAAGCAUGGGGAGCGAACAGG